CUCCAGCACGGACUGCCGAUAUUGGAGC
rnacentral:sRNA from 1 species